AUGGCUCAGUGGUAGAGCAUCAACCUGAGCAUUGAAGAGUUUCUGGGUUCGAUUCCCAGU
rfam:Myotis lucifugus cont2.2428, whole genome shotgun sequence.